rnacentral:rRNA from 1 species
GACGAACGCUGGCGGCGCGCCUAACACAUGCAAGUCGAACGAGCGAGAGAGAGCUUGCUUUCUCGAGCGAGUGGCGAACGGGUGAGUAACGCGUGAGGAACCUGCCUCAAAGAGGGGGACAACAGUUGGAAACGACUGCUAAUACCGCAUAAGCCCACGACCCGGCAUCGGGUCGAGGGAAAAGGAGCAAUCCGCUUUGAGAUGGCCUCGCGUCCGAUUAGCUAGUUGGUGAGGUAACGGCCCACCAAGGCGACGAUCGGUAGCCGGACUGAGAGGUUGAACGGCCACAUUGGGACUGAGACACGGCCCAGACUCCUACGGGAGGCAGCAGUGGGGAAUAUUGCACAAUGGGGGAAACCCUGAUGCAGCGACGCCGCGUGGAGGAAGAAGGUCUUCGGAUUGUAAACUCCUGUUGUUGAGGAAGAUAAUGACGGUACUCAAAAAGGAAGUGACGGCUAACUACGUG